UGAGGAAUAUUGGUCAAUGGGCGCAAGCCUGAACCAGCCAUCCCGCGUGCAGGAAGACGGCUCUAUGGGUUGUAAACUGCUUUUCCAGGGGGAGAAUUUUUCUGUCGUGACAGGAAUUGACGGUACCCUGGGAAUAAGCAUCGGCUAACUCCGUGCCAGCAGCCGCGGUAAUACGGAGGAUGCGAGCGUUAUCCGGAUUUAUUGGGUUUAAAGGGUGCGUAGGCGGAUAGAUAAGUCAGUGGUGAAAACCUGCAGCUUAACUAUAGACUUGCCGUUGAUACUGUCAGUCUUGAGUAUGGUCAAGGUAGGCGGAAUGUGUAAUGUAGCGGUGAAAUGCUUAGAUGUUACACAGAACACCGAUUGCGAAGGCAGCUUACUAAGCUACAACUGACACUGAAGCACGAAAGCGUGGGGAUCAAACA
rnacentral:rRNA from 1 species